GCUAGAAGAGCAUGACAUAUACUGUUGUGUCGAUAUUUUCUCCUCGGACCUUGAAAAUUUAUGGUGGGGAUACGCAAACUUCUCAACAGGCCGUACCAAUAUCCGCAGCUGGUCUCCAAGGUGAAGAGUCUCUAGUCGAUAGAAUAAUGUAGGUAAGGGAAGUCGGCAAAUUAGAUCCGUAACUUCGGGAUAAGGAUUGGCUCUGAAGAUUGAGAUAGUCGGGCUUGAUUGGGAAACAAUAACAUGGUUUAUGUGCUCGUUCUGGGUAAAUAGAGUUUCUAUCAUUUAUGAUAGUUAUUUGUUCCCCGGAUAGUUAGUUACGUAGCCAAUUGUGGAACUUUCUUGCUAAAAUUUUUAAGAAUACUAAUUUUUAAUUAGUUCUUUUAAAUUAUAACGAUUAUCAAUUAACAAUCAAUUCAGAACUGGCACGGACUUGGGGAAUCCGACUGUCUAAUUAAAACAAAGCAUUGUGAUGGCCCUAGCGGGUGUUGACAAAAUGUGAUUUCUGCCCAGUGCUCUGAAUGUCAAAGUGAAGAAAUUCAAGUAAGCGCGGGUCAACGGCGGGAGUAACUAUGACUCUCUUGGCGAGAAAGGAGGUGGAGCUCGAAGCAAGUGGUAAUUUGAGAUUUCCUAAUAAGAAGCUAGCGGAAGUAUUUACUCACCGU
rnacentral:ncRNA from 1 species